rnacentral:tRNA from 1 species
GUUCGAAUAGCUCAGAAGGUAGAGCAAAGGAUUGAAAAUCCUUGUGUCGGCAGUUCAAAUCUGUCUUCGAACA